rnacentral:rRNA from 1 species
CCUACGGGUGGCUGCAGUGGGGAAUAUUGCACAAUGGGGGGAACCCUGAUGCAGCAAUGCCGCGUGAAGGAUGAAGGUUUUCGGAUUGUACACUUCUUUUGUACGGGGCGAAAAGAGGGACGGUACCGUACGAAUAAGCCACGGCGAACUACGUGCCAGCAGCCGCGGUAAUACGGAGGUGGCAGGCGUUAUCCGGAUUUAAUGGGUGUAAGGGUGGAGUGGGGGGGAUUGCAAGUCAGAUGGGAAGACUAGGGGCUCAACCGAUAGAGUGCAUUUGAAACUGCAGUUCUUGAGUGAUGGAGAGGCAGGCGGAAUUCCCGGUGUAGCGGUGGAAUGCGUAGAUAUCGGGCGGAACACCAGUGGCGAAGGCGGCCUGCUGGACAUUAACUGACGCUGAGGCGCGAAAGCGUGGGGAGCAAACAGGAUUAGAUACCCGUGUAGUC